rnacentral:rRNA from 1 species
CCUACGUGUGGCAGCAGUGGGGAAUAUUGCGCAAUGGGCGAGAGCCUGACGCAGCGACGCCGCGUGAGGGAUGAAGGUCUUCGGAUCGUAAACCUCUGUCAGCAGGGAAGAACGGUCACUGUGCUAAUCAGCAGUGAAUUGACGUUCCCUGCCAAGGAAGCACCGGCGAACUCCGUGCCAGCAACCGCGGUAAUACUGAGGGUGCGAGCGUUAAUAGGCAUUACUGGGCGUAAAGCGCUCGUAGGCGGUAUGUCAAGUCAAGGGUGAAAUCCCCGCGAGCAACGUGGGAACUGACUUUGAACCUGGCAAACUGGAGUGUGUGAGAGGAUAGUGGAAAUCCAGGUGUAGGAGUGAAAUCGGGAGAUAUCUGGAGGAAAAUCAGAGGCGAAGGGGACUAUCUGGCACAUAACUGAAGCUGAGGAGCGAAAGCGUGGGUAGCAAACAGGAUUAGAUACCCUAGUAGUC